UUCGUAGGGUGCGAGCGUUGUCCGGAAUUAUUGGGCGUAAAGAGCUCGUAGGCGGUGUGUCGCGUCGGCCGUGAAAACCUGCAGCUUAACUGUGGGCUUGCGGUCGAUACGGGCAUCACUGGAGUUCGGCAGGGGAGACUGGAAUUCCUGGUGUAGCGGUGAAAUGCGCAGAUAUCAGGAGGAACACCGGUGGCGAAGGCGGGUCUCUGGGCCGAUACUGACGCUGAGGAGCGAAAGCGUGGGGAGCGAACAGG
rnacentral:rRNA from 1 species